AUUGAAACACCGCUUCCCAUAUGAUCACCGAAACUAAGCAAUGUCAAGCCUGGUCAGUACCUACAUAGGUGACCACUUUGGAAUACCAGGUGCUGUAAG